rnacentral:rRNA from 1 species
GAUGAACGCUGGCGGCGUGCCUAAUACAUGCAAGUCGAGCGAACAGACGAGGAGCUUGCUCCUCUGACGUUAGCGGCAGACGGGUGAGUAACACGUGGAUAACCUACCUAUAAGACUGGGAUAACUUCGGGAAACCGGAGCUAAUACCGGAUAAUAUAUUGAACCGCAUGGUUCAAUAGUGAAAGACGGUUUUGCUGUCACUUAUAGAUGGAUCCGCGCCGCAUUAGCUAGUUGGUAAGGUAACGGCUUACCAAGGCAACGAUGCGUAGCCGACCUGAGAGGGUGAUCGGCCACACUGGAACUGAGACACGGUCCAGACUCCUACGGGAGGCAGCAGUAGGGAAUCUGCCGCAAUGGGCGAAAGCCUGACGGAGCAACGCCGCGUGAGUGAUGAAGGUCUUCGGAUCGUAAAACUCUGUUAUUAGGGAAGAACAAAUGUGUAAGUAACUAUGCACGUCUUGACGGUACCUAAUCAGAAAGCCACGGCUAACUACGUG